UGCGGGGCCCGGGAACCCCCAACACCGCCGCCCAGUGGCCGCCUCCGCCACUUCUCCCCCGUCGCCAUCUUGGGAGCCCCGGCCUGCUUCCCAACCAGACAUUUGGUCUGCAUUUCCUGCAGUUCUAAAAGCACUCGUGUUGCGUGCAGAUAGGAUUUCCAUUUUGUCAGAGGAACAUUGAUGGAUUUUCAUCAUAAACUGAUUUCCAUGAAACCUCCACCAAAGUUGCAGAGACAGACCUGGGCAGAAGAUACAGGAGCCUGAGGGCACAUACCACUAGACUCAAGUACAGCUUCUAUCCCACGGUGAUAAGACUAUUGAAUGGUUGGUUCCCUUAUACGAUGAGAUGGACUCUUGACCUCA